rnacentral:rRNA from 1 species
AUUGAACGCUGGCGGCAUGCCUUACACAUGCAAGUCGAACGGCAGCACGGGUGCUUGCACCUGGUGGCGAGUGGCGAACGGGUGAGUAAUACAUCGGAACAUGUCCUGUAGUGGGGGAUAGCCCGGCGAAAGCCGGAUUAAUACCGCAUACGAUCUACGGAUGAAAGCGGGGGACCUUCGGGCCUCGCGCUAUAGGGUUGGCCGAUGGCUGAUUAGCUAGUUGGUGGGGUAAAGGCCUACCAAGGCGACGAUCAGUAGCUGGUCUGAGAGGACGACCAGCCACACUGGGACUGAGACACGGCCCAGACUCCUACGGGAGGCAGCAGUGGGGAAUUUUGGACAAUGGGCGAAAGCCUGAUCCAGCAAUGCCGCGUGUGUGAAGAAGGCCUUCGGGUUGUAAAGCACUUUUGUCCGGAAAGAAAUCCUUGGCCCUAAUACGGUCGGGGGGAUGACGGUACCGGAAGAAUAAGCACCGGCUAGCUACGUG